rnacentral:rRNA from 1 species
AUGUUCAGUGUGGCGUGUCGUGUCAGCCUAGGCAAUGGAGAGAGAGCAAAGUUCUGGACGGAUAAUUGGCUCCCCGAUGGUCAAUCUAUUGCUACAUUAGCUCCGGAGCUGUUCUCCUUUGUGAGGAAUAAAGAAAAAUCGGUAAGAGACGCCAUACAUGGCAGGGCGUGGGUGAGAGACAUCUCUGGAGGCUUAACUCUCAUAGCCAUGGCCCAGUAUCUGAAGAUCUGGGAUAUUGUUCAGGCCACAUCUCUCACAAUUGGUUCAAGGGACCGGCUCGUCUGGAAACUCACGCAUGAUCAUCAGUUCUCAAUCAAGAGCGCGUAUCAAUUGUUGUUCCUCGGGAACACUCGUUCUACGGAGGAUUGGUGGCUGAAGGCGAGGGAGGGGAUCCCAAAACCAAUGAAGAAGAACUUCGAUACUAUUGUCAUCCUUCUCCAUUGGAGGAUUUGGAAGGAAAGAAACGCCAGGAUUUUUGAUAAUGUCGCUAGCUCGGCUGACAGGGUUCGGGACCUGGUAAUACAGGAUAUCGACACAUGGAGGGCAGCAGGAUGCAUUUGUGACCUGAUGACGUGA